AAAGUCGUAACAAGGUAACCGUAGGUGAACCUGCGGUUGGAUCAUUAUUGAUACAACGGUCUUGGAGUCCUCUUUGGAGUUGAUUCCUCGACCUUACCCACCCCAUGUGCAAUCUAACCGUUUUUUGGGACUGUUUCUGGUGUAUUUAAUUUCAAUUAUUGCACAAAGAAUGGUCCCAGCAGUAUUAACCACUAUUAAUUUGACUGAUAUGAAACCAAGAAUCAAUAACAACUUUUGACAACGGAUCUCUUGGCUCUC
rnacentral:misc_RNA from 1 species